GCAAGUGAUGAUUUGAAAAUUCUUCACUUUGACCUGACUAAUCAGUGAUGAUAACCUUCAGCCUGAGC
ensembl:snoRNA